UACGUAGGGGGCAAGCGUUGUCCGGAAUUACUGGGCGUAAAGAGUACGUAGGCGGUUUGUUAAGUUAGAUGUGAAAGUUUGCAGCUCAACUGUAAAAGUGCAUUUAAAACUGGCAGACUUGAGUCUCGGAGAGGUAAGCGGAAUUCCUAGUGUAGCGGUGAAAUGCGUAGAGAUUAGGAAGAACACCGGUGGCGAAGGCGGCUUACUGGACGAGUACUGACGCUCAGGUACGAAAGCGUGGGGAGCAAACAGG
rnacentral:rRNA from 1 species